AGAGUUUGAUCCUGGCUCAGGACGAACGCUGGCGGCGUGCCUAAUACAUGCAAGUCGAACGCUUUUUCUUUCACCGGAGCUUGCUCCACCGAAAGAAAAAGAGUGGCGAACGGGUGAGUAACACGUGGGUAACCUGCCCAUCAGAAGGGGAUAACACUUGGAAACAGGUGCUAAUACCGUAUAACACUAUUUUCCGCAUGGAAGAAAGUUGAAAGGCGCUUUUGCGUCACUGAUGGAUGGACCCGCGGUGCAUUAGCUAGUUGGUGAGGUAACGGCUCACCAAGGCCACGAUGCAUAGCCGACCUGAGAGGGUGAUCGGCCACACUGGGACUGAGACACGGCCCAGACUCCUACGGGAGGCAGCAGUAGGGAAUCUUCGGCAAUGGACGAAAGUCUGACCGAGCAACGCCGCGUGAGUGAAGAAGGUUUUCGGAUCGUAAAACUCUGUUGUUAGAGAAGAACAAGGAUGAGAGUAGAACGUUCAUCCCUUGACGGUAUCUAACCAGAAAGCCACGGCUAACUACGUGCCAGCAGCCGCGGUAAUACGUAGGUGGCAAGCGUUGUCCGGAUUUAUUGGGCGUAAAGCGAGCGCAGGCGGUUUCUUAAGUCUGAUGUGAAAGCCCCCGGCUCAACCGGGGAGGGUCAUUGGAAACUGGGAGACUUGAGUGCAGAAGAGGAGAGUGGAAUUCCAUGUGUAGCGGUGAAAUGCGUAGAUAUAUGGAGGAACACCAGUGGCGAAGGCGGCUCUCUGGUCUGUAACUGACGCUGAGGCUCGAAAGCGUGGGGAGCGAACAGGAUUAGAUACCCUGGUAGUCCACGCCGUAAACGAUGAGUGCUAAGUG
rnacentral:rRNA from 1 species